UGCAACUUUUCUCGCAUUUGUUAUUCAUUUCUCUCUGAAAUAAAAAACGAAACCAGUAAAAAACGAAGAAUCUUUGAGAAUUGAAGCCAACACAGAGACAGACAAACUUGAUCGAGCUAGACAGUCAAACGGCGUCGUUUCAUAGUUGAUAGUCGUGAAUUUGGUUUCGUGAACAGGGGGAAUGGAAGGGAACACGGGAAAAACCGACGCGAACAGCGGCAGCGGCAAUAAUAAUCGGGGAGAAACCGUCGUUUCUGGUCAUGGCCACCUUAAAAGUUCCCUUGGUUAUUGCAAAUCCACUGGUUGCACCAGCAUCUUUCACGGAUCUACAACCAGCUUUUGGCCCCGAGGAGAGGAGAUAUUUGGAAUCCCGUUUGCAUAGAUACAAGAGGGUUGUGGGUGAAAAGCUGUCUGCACAAAAGGUGUCUUAUUCACUUGGAUGAUCCUGUUCUUCCAUUUGGGCCUUGUUACAUCUCAUCGCAAUGGGAGAUGAAGAUCUUACCGUGAGAGCUGUGCUGCACCUAGUCCUGUUUGGUUUUCAUAUCGGAGGCAAAAAUGAAGCCAUUACUGAUUUUCUACGCAUCUUACUUCUGGAGUUCAGCAUGAUGACCUACUCCCACCCAGAUCGACAGUGGUUUAAAUGUCUGUCUCGUGUUCUCCAGCAGUUUAUUCCUUGUGCUCAAUGAGCGAACGUGGAAGUUAUUUGUUCCUUUUUACCUUCAAUUAUUAAAUUGAAAUUUGGAAUAGCUGAAUGAGACAUGCUGAAAUAAAUAUUGGUUCUUUUUUCAAGGC